AUUGAACGCUGGCGGCAGGCCUAACACAUGCAAGUCGAGCGGAUGAAGGGAGCUUGCUCCUGGAUUCAGCGGCGGACGGGUGAGUAAUGCCUAGGAAUCUGCCUGGUAGUGGGGGAUAACGUCCGGAAACGGGCGCUAAUACCGCAUACGUCCUGAGGGAGAAAGUGGGGGAUCUUCGGACCUCACGCUAUCAGAUGAGCCUAGGUCGGGUUAGCUAGUUGGUGGGGUAAAGGCCUACCAAGGCGACGAUCCGUAACUGGUCUGAGAGGAUGAUCAGUCACACUGGAACUGAGACACGGUCCAGACUCCUACGGGAGGCAGCAGUGGGGAAUAUUGGACAAUGGGCGAAAGCCUGAUCCAGCCAUGCCGCGUGUGUGAAGAAGGUCUUCGGAUUGUAAAGCACUUUAAGUUGGGAGGAAGGGCAGUAAGUUAAUACCUUGCUGUUUUGACGUUACCAACAGAAUAAGCACCGGCUAACUUCGUG
rnacentral:rRNA from 1 species